AGAACGAACGCUGGCGGCAUGCCUAACACAUGCAAGUCGAACGAGACCUUCGGGUCUAGUGGCGCACGGGUGCGUAACGCGUGGGAAUCUGCCCUUGGGUUCGGGAUAACAGUUGGAAACGACUGCUAAUACCGGAUGAUGACUUCGGUCCAAAGAUUUAUUGCCCAGGGAUGAGCCCGCGUAGGAUUAGCUAGUUGGUGAGGUAAAGGCUCACCAAGGCGACGAUCCUUAGCUGGUCUGAGAGGAUGAUCAGCCACACUGGGACUGAGACACGGCCCAGACUCCUACGGGAGGCAGCAGUGGGAAUCUGCGCAAUGGGCGAAAGCCUGACGCAGCAUGCCGCGUGAGUGAAGAAGGUCUUAGGAUUGUAAAGCUCUUUCGCUCGUGACGAUGAUGACGUAACGAGAAGAAGAACGCCCGACUAACUUCGUGCCAGCACGCCGACGUAAU
rnacentral:rRNA from 1 species